rnacentral:rRNA from 1 species
GAUGAACGCUGGCGGCGUGCUUAACACAUGCAAGUCGAACGAUGAAGCCAGCUUGCUGGUGGAUUAGUGGCGAACGGGUGAGUAACACGUGAGUAACCUGCCCUUAACUCUGGGAUAAGCCUGGGAAACUGGGUCUAAUACCGGAUAUGACUUCCCAUCGCAUGGUGGGGGGUGGAAAGCUUUUGUGGUUUUGGAUGGACUCGCGGCCUAGCAGCUUGUUGGUGAGGUAAUGGCUCACCUAGGCGACGACGGGUAGCCGGCCUGAGAGGGUGACCGGCCACACUGGGACUGAGACACGGCCCAGACUCCUACGGGAGGCAGCAGUGGGGAAUAUUGCACAAUGGGCGGAAGCCUGAUGCAGCGACGCCGCGUGAGGGAUGACGGCCUUCGGGUUGUAAACCUCUUUCAGUAGGGAAGAAGCGUAAGUGACGGUACCUGCAGAAGAAGCGCCGGCUAACUACGUGCCAGCAGCCGCAGUAA